GGGUCAGUAGGUUGGUCGUGCCACCGGUACGUACUGGUCUCACUGAUUCCUCCUUCCUGAAGAACCGUAAUGCCAUUAAUUUGGUGUUGCGGGGAAACAGGACUGUUACUUUGAAAAAUUAGAGUGUUUAAAGCAAGCUAACGCUUGAAUACAUUAGCAUGGAAUAAUGAAAUAGGACGAUCGAUCCAAUUUUGUUGGUUUCUAGGAUUGACGUA
rnacentral:rRNA from 1 species